rnacentral:rRNA from 1 species
GAUGAACGCUGGCGGCGUGCCUAACACAUGCAAGUCGAGCGGAAAGACGAGGAUCUUGCGCCCUUGAGGUUAGCGGGGGUCGGGCGAGUGACACGUACAUACCCUUCCUAUUAGUCUGGGAUAAUUACGGGGAACCGCAUCCAAUACCGGAGCAUAUGCUGCACCGCAUGGUUCAAUAGUUAUCGGCGGUUUUGGCUUCACUAACAGCUGGUUACGGGCUGGGUUAGUUAGUUGGUAAGGUAACGGCUUACCAAGGCGACGAAGGGUAGCCGAACGGAGAGGAGGAUAGGCCACACUGGAAGUGGGACACGGUCCAGACUCCUACGGGAGGCAGCAGUAGGGAAUCUGCGGCAAUGGGCGGAAGCCUGACGGAGCAACGCCGCGUGAGUGAAGAAGGCCUUCGGAUCGUAAAGCCCUGUUAUUGGGGAAGAACAGAUGUGGAAGUAGACGAGGCCGUCGUGACGGUACCUAAUCAAGAAGCAACGGCUAACUACGUG